CUCCUUAUAAGGGUUAAUAACAAAAUGAUUGUACAUGUUUAUUAACAUUGCCAUCUGUUCCUGUACAUGUUGCCGUUUUCAAAUCGAUUCUAUCUCUUAUACUUUUUGAGAAAAAUGCAAAGGAAAGAAAUUGUUUCAAGGGGAUAUAACUCUCAUAGGGGACGAUGAAAUCCUAUUCAGCCUCACAUGGUAAUACAUCAUGAUGAGAUCUACAUUAUGUCCAAUAAAGGUCAUGAUAUCUUUAAAACCAACGAGGGGGGGCUAUGUUGAAAAAAAUCAAUAAAAGGGAGAUAACUUCUUAAAGGGGAUGAUGAAAUCCUUAACAGGGUCAUUUGGUAAUACAUCUUGGUGAGGUCUAGCGAUGGUCCAUAUUUGGUCUUAAUAACUUCAACAGAAACAAGAGGCGAGGCAUGUCAAAAAAAUGUUGGAAGAAAAAAAAAAAAAAAAAAAAGAAAAAGAAAAAGAAAAAAAAACAUUAGAAAAACAAUAAGGUCUUUCCUCACGUAGGGGAAAGACCUUAAAAAAAAAACAUGCGAAAAACAAUAAGGUCUUUCCUCGCGGAGAGGAAAGACCUUAAAAAUUGUGUACAUGUACAAAAGUUGGCUGAUAGAAUGAUAAAUGGAGAUGUAUGAUAUGCAAUUUAUAAGAUAG
rnacentral:lncRNA from 1 species